AGCGAACGCUGGCGGCAGGCUUAACACAUGCAAGUCGAGCGGGCAUAGCAAUAUGUCAGCGGCAGACGGGUGAGUAACGCGUGGGAACGUACCUUUUGGUUCGGAACAACUGAGGGAAACUUCAGCUAAUACCGGAUAAGCCCUUACAGGGAAAGAUUUAUCGCCGAAAGAUCGGCCCGCGUCUGAUUAGCUAGUUGGUGAGGUAAUGGCUCACCAAGGCGACGAUCAGUAGCUGGUCUGAGAGGAUGAUCAGCCACAUUGGGACUGAGACACGGCCCAAACUCCUACGGGAGGCAGCAGUGGGGAAUAUUGGACAAUGGGCGCAAGCCUGAUCCAGCAAUGCCGCGUGAGUGAUGAAGGCCCUAGGGUUGUAAAGCUCUUUUGUGCGGGAAGAUAAUGACGGUACCGCAAGAAUAAGCCCCGGCUAACUUCGUGCCAGCAGCCGCCGCGG
rnacentral:rRNA from 1 species